GAUGAACGCUGGCGGCGUGCCUAAUACAUGCAAGUCGAGCGAAAAGACGAGGAGAUUGCUCCUCUGACGUUAGCGGCGGACGGGUGAGUAACACGUGGAUAACCUACCUAUAAGACUGGGAUAACUUCGGGAAACCGGAGCUAAUACCGGAUAAUAUAUUGAACCGCAUGGUUCAAUAGUGAAAGACGGUUUUGCUGUCACUUAUAGAUGGAUCCGCGCCGCAUUAGCUAGUUGGUAAGGUAACGGCUUACCAAGGCAACGAUGCGUAGCCGACCUGAGAGGAUGAUCAGCCACACUGGAACUGAGACACGGUCCAGACUCCUACGGGAGGCAGCAGUAGGGAAUCUUCCGCAAUGGGCGAAAGCCUGACGGAGCAACGCCGCGUGAGUGAUGAAGGUCUUCGGAUCGUAAAGCUCUGUUAUUAGGGAAGAACAGAUGUGUAAGUAACUAUGCACGUCUUGACGGUACCUAAUCAGAAAGCCCCGGCUAACUACGUG
rnacentral:rRNA from 1 species